ensembl:rRNA 5S_rRNA 5S ribosomal RNA
GCGCCCGAUCUCGUCUGAUCUCGGAAGU